rnacentral:rRNA from 1 species
CUACGGGCCGCUGCAGUGGGGAAUAUUGCACAAUGGGCGAAAGCCUGAUGCAGCAACGCCGCGUGAGCGAUGAAGGCCUUCGGGUCGUAAAGCUCUGUCCUAAAGGAAGAAUUUUUGACGGUACUUUAGGAGGAAGCCCCGGCUAAUUACGUGCCAGCAGCCGCGGUAAUACGUAGGGGGCUAGCGUUACCCGGAAUUACUGGGCGUAAAGGGUACGUAGGCGGUUUAUUAAGUCAGGGGUGAAAGGCUACGGCUCAACCGUAGUAAGCCUUUGAAACUGAUAAACUUGAGUAUGGUAGAGGAAAGUGGAAUUCCUGGUGUAGCGGUGAAAUGCGUAGAUAUCAGGAGGAACAUCGAUGGCGAAGGCAGCUUUCUGGGCCAUUACUGACGCUGAGGUACGAAGGCGUGGGGAGCGAACAGGAUUAGAUACCCGAGUAGUC